UAUGAGGCUUGAACAAAUGAGAUAUGAACAAAUGUUUACUGUUUUCAUAGUUGAUUCAAGGUAUGGACAGCCCUGAAAGAUCAACAUUAGUUAUAGGGUUAUAAGACUAGGGUUAUGCAGGAUUAGAACUAAGUAUAGGGGUUAGGUUAAUGGCAUUUAAAUCACUGAACUUGCUCUACACAUGCAAUACAAAGUAAUAAUUUCAGUUUCAUGUGUUGCAUGUGUACUGUGUACAGUUAUAGAUGCAAACAUGAACCACAAGCCAGAAGAGCAUAUGAGAAGCUGAUGGUUCGGGAGCAUGCAGGCUUCUCCUGUAAGGGCAGUGGUCUCUGGCUGAACACCAAGUGGCCAUACAUGGGGUCCUCCCCUGAUGGGAUUACUGCGUGCCGAGGUCGAAGUGCUGCAAACUAAGUGCUUUUCCACCAUACAAUAUAGUUCUCAUUUUUUAUCCACUUAAAAAAUCGCCACAUUUUAUUUUGUGCCACCAUACUUACUCGUGUAACUACUCAUGUAACAGUCUUUUAAUAAGGAAAACAUGGAAGUGUUUAUUGGCUUCUAAAUUCAUCCCUGCUUGGAUCCUAAGGAAUUAAUUGGGUUAGGCUAAAUGCUAACACAGUCAUGACGCGCUGUGCAAAGAUGAAGUGCACACAUUGAAAAAAUAUAGGUAUAUAUUAAUUUCUCUAAACUGAGGUAAGAACAUAGUAAAAUAUUGUUUUCCUUUAAUCUAUUGUUCAUAUGUCCUUCUCACUGUGAUUUUA
ensembl:lncRNA